AACGAACGCUGGCGGCAGGCCUAACACAUGCAAGUCGAGCGGACCCUUCGGGGUUAGCGGCGGACGGGUGAGUAACGCGUGGGAACGUGCCCUUUGCUUCGGAAUAGCCCUGGGAAACUGGGAGUAAUACCGGAUACGCCCUUCUGGGGAAAGAUUUAUCGGCGUAGGAUCGGCCCGCGUUGGAUUAGGUAGUUGGUGGGGUAAUGGCCUACCAAGCCGACGAUCCAUAGCUGGUCUGAGAGGAUGAUCAGCCACACUGGGACUGAGACACGGCCCAGACUCCUACGGGAGGCAGCAGUGGGGAAUCUUAGACAAUGGGGGAAACCCUGAUCUAGCCAUGCCGCGUGAGCGAUGAAGGCCUUAGGGUUGUAAAGCUCUUUCACCGGGGAAGAUAAUGACGGUACCCGGAGAAGAAGCCCCGGCUAACUCCGUG
rnacentral:rRNA from 1 species